ensembl:snoRNA Gm24888 predicted gene, 24888
GCCGAGACUAGAGUCACAUCCCGACAUGGUGGUUGUCCUGGUGUGCUAGAGUUCUCGAAGAGAAUCUGCUGGUCUCGAUUCACUGGUAGGGGUCUUCAGUGUCCCUGUUAGUGCCCAGAUCAGAAACAUGU